GUUGUAUGUUGAGGACAAUUUCUUAAUAACCCUUUAUAACGUUCCCAUGCCUCGUAAAGUACCUCCCCUGGCUAUUGCUCAAAAUUGGCUAUCACCUUCUUGAGUUU